rnacentral:ribozyme from 1 species
AUGAAGCAACAACAGACAACAACAAUUCAUGAAAAUUACGGAAAUUCACGUGCCGCUUCGCGUGUUCCUUCCACCAUUUCUUUCUUUCUUUCUUUCUUUUUUUUUGUAAGCACUUGUUCCUUCUCCAUGAACCGCUAUUUUUUCAAGACACUAUGAUAAUGUUCUGAUAU